rnacentral:misc_RNA from 1 species
AGCAUCUCCUAUUACUAGAUGGUCACGUUUCCAAUGUUUAUUAUUACAAUACUGCGCAUCUAAAACAUUCAAACUCGAAUUCUAACUAAGAUAGACACUUCAUUACUAGAAGAAGAAAGAGACGAAAGCGAUAUCUAAUACCUUGUAGCCAGCAAUUCUAGUUCCACUGCUCCCUAUGAAAAGUGGCCUCAGAUAUAUUGGCAGUCGAUAA